GGUUGAGGUUGGGACCACUGAUCCAUUGGAAACCCAGUGAGGGGGUGCAGCCAGUUCUCCGGGUCUCUGGGGUCUCAGGGGGCCGCAGGCUUCCAGCCAGGUAGCCCAGGAGGCUGGGCUGCAGGAGUUGAGAGCUCCUUGCUGCUCUCUGUGUAACUGGUGAAGGUACCCAGUACUGCAAACCUUCAUCACAGGGAUGCCUCCAACAGGCUGCUCUGCUCUUCCUCAGGUGUAUGUGCUCAAGAGGCCUUAUGUGGAUGAGUUCCUGAGACGCAUGGGGGAACUCUUUGAAUGUGUUCUCUUCACUGCCAGCCUGGCCAAGUAUGCCGACCCUGUGACAGACCUGCUGGACCGGUGUGGGGUGUUCCGGGCCCGCCUAUUCCGUGAGUCUUGCGUGUUCCACCAGGGCUGCUACGUCAAGGACCUCAGCCGCCUGGGGAGGGACCUGAGGAAGACCCUCAUCCUGGACAACUCGCCUGCUUCUUACAUAUUCCACCCCGAGAAUGCAGUGCCUGUGCAGUCCUGGUUUGAUGACAUGGCAGACACUGAGUUGCUGAACCUGAUCCCAAUCUUUGAGGAGCUGAGCGGAGCAGAGGACGUCUACACCAGCCUUGGGCAGCUGCGGGCCCCUUAGCCUGCCCUGCUUCCAAGCGAUGGCCAUCCCAGUAGGGGACUUUCCCACACUGUGCCUUUAUGAUCAGCGUGACAGAGUAGAAGCUGGAGUGCCUCACCACACGGCCCGGAAACAGUGAGAAGUAAUUGGAAAGAGCUUUAGGACAGCUUAGAUGCCGAGUGGGCGAAUGCCAGACCAACGAUACCCAGAGCUACCUGCCGCCAACUUGUUGAGAUGUGUGUUUGACUGUGAGAGUGUGUUUGUGUGUGUGUGUGGCCAUGAACUGUGGCCCCAAUAUACAGUGUUUCAGUGGGGGAGAAGCUGAAGGACGAAUACUUCCCAAGUUAGCUUGUCUCCUCUCCUGUCACCCUAUGAGCCCCUGAGCUCCAUAGGGAUGAAGACUCUUGAAGGCUCCAUUGUAAACCUGGCCUUUCCUCAGUGCUGCAAGGCCUAUGCCAAGGAUAAAGGAAGGGUAUGCCUUUGGGUACUCCAGGCACACACCUUUCUGAAAUCCUUUUCCAGCCAGCUGCUGCAGACAAAAGGCCACAUUUCUGGGAAGAUGGGGACUUGUGUCCAGACCAGCACCCAGGCCAUCAGGUCUUGUGGCCCAAAGGCUAUGCUUGCCUCCCGCUGAGUGCCUGGGAUGGGCCCUUUCUAUGUCUCCCCAAGGCUGGGGUGCUGAGCCUGCCUUCCUCACCACCUAGCCAUAGUCUCGAACCUGU
rnacentral:sRNA from 1 species